GUGGGGAAUCUUGCGCAAUGGGCGAAAGCCUGACGCAGCGACGCCGCGUGGGGGAUGAAGGCCUUCGGGUCGUAAACCCCUUUCGGCAGGGACGAAGCCUUACGGUGACGGUACCUGCAGAAGAAGCCUCGGCUAACUACGUGCCAGCAGCCGCGGUAAGACGUAGGAGGCGAGCGUUGUCCGGAUUCAUUGGGCGUAAAGCGCGCGUAGGCGGCUUGGCAAGUCGGAUGUGAAAACCCGAGGCUCAACCUCGGGCGUGCAUCCGAAACUGCCAGGCUAGAGGUAGGUAGGGGAGAUCGGAACUCCUGGUGUAGCGGUGAAAUGCGCAGAUAUCAGGAAGAACACCGGUGGCGAAGGCGGAUCUCUGGGCCUUACCUGACGCUGAGGCGCGAAAGCUAGGGGAGCGAACAGGAUUAGAAACCCCAGUAGUCC
rnacentral:rRNA from 1 species